UACGUAGGGUGCGAGCGUUGUCCGGAAUUAUUGGGCGUAAAGGGCUCGUAGGCGGUUUGUCGCGUCUGCUGUGAAAACUGGGGGCUCAACCCCCAGCCUGCAGUGGGUACGGGCAGACUAGAGUGCGGUAGGGGAGAUUGGAAUUCCUGGUGUAGCGGUGGAAUGCGCAGAUAUCAGGAGGAACACCGAUGGCGAAGGCAGCCCCCUGGGUCAAGAUUGACGCUCAUGCACGAAAGCGUGGGGAGCAAACAGG
rnacentral:rRNA from 1 species